GAGCCCGGGCGGAGCGGC
rnacentral:snRNA from 1 species